rnacentral:rRNA from 1 species
UACGUAGGGGGGCAAGGCGUUGUCCGGAUUUAUUUGGGCGUAAAAGAGCGUGUAGGCGGCCAUGCAGGUCCGUUGUGAAAACUCGAGGCUCAACCUCGAGACGCCGGUGGAAACCGUGUGGCUAGAGUCCGGAAGAGGAGAGUGGAAUUCCUGGUGUAGCGGUGAAAUGCGCAGAUAUCAGGAGGAACACCAAUGGCGAAGGCAGCUCACUGGGACGGUACUGACGCUGAGGCGCGAAAGCGUGGGGGAGCAAACAGG